AUCCAGCUGACGAGUCCCGAAUAGGACAAGACACGUGUCAUGGAU
rnacentral:hammerhead_ribozyme from 1 species